AAGUUUUCUGGAGAUUCAACCGUUGGAUCGCAAUGAAAUUUUACACUGUGUUAGUAGACAAAAUUACACACAAUCCCACCCAAGGGAUCGUCGAAAUAAUGAUUGAAUCAACGGGAAACAUUCAAACAAGUCAGACAUUCAUGCUGUUACGAAUGGCCGCGAGGAAUCCGAACAACACUUGGUGUUUUGGAGUUGACCGGAGAUUUCACCGUCGGAUCGAGAUGAAAUUUCACACCGUCAUAGUAGACACAAUUUCGCAUCAUCUCACCGAUGGGAUUGUUGAAAUAAUAAUUUACGCUGCAUAUACUUUGCGAGAGAGAAAGGAGGCAGGAGAAAGAAAAAGAUUAGGCAAAAGGAGAGCAAAAGGAAGUAAAAGAAAAAAAACGUGAAAAACCCAUCCUACUCUUCUGAAUUUGGGUGGGAGUUGUAUUGAAUUAGUCCUCUUACCAGAAAUAGUCAACUAAUUUAAAUUACAAUUUAACAAUCCGAAUUAUUUUUCUACGGGAUUCUAUCUUGCAUGAGUAUAUGUAAGACGAGAUUCUCUCGCUUUCUUUAUAGCUCAGAC
rnacentral:lncRNA from 1 species